GGCGCUAUAGUGUAGUGGUUAUCACUCGAGAUUCUGAGGAUUUUCUUAUCUUCUCGAAACCCAGGUUCGAGCCCUGGUAGCGCCU